rnacentral:rRNA from 1 species
UACUAGAGUAGCACUCGCAUAUCAAUAAGCGGAGGAAAAGAAACUAACAAGGAUUCCCCUAGUAACGGCGAGUGAAGCGGGAAGAGCUCAAAUUUGAAAUCUUAAAGGGUUUCCCUUUACGAAUUGUAGUUUAAAGAAGUGUUUUCUGUUGAGGUUUUGGUAAAAGUUCUUUGGAAUAGGACAUCAUAGAGGGUGAGAAUCCCGUAUUUGACCUUUACUUUCAACUUUGUGAUACACCUUUCAAAGAGUCGGAUUGUUUGGGAAUGCAGUCCAAAAUGGGUGGUAAAUUUCAUCUAAAGCUAAAUAUUGGCGAGAGACCGAUAGCGAACAAGUACCGUGAGGGAAAGAUGAAAAGAACUUUGAAAAGAGAGUUAAACAGUACGUGAAAUUGUCAAAAGGGAAGCGUUUGACACCAGUGUUGUUUUUCUGAAAAUCAAUUAAAGAACUGUUUAUGCUAAGCUGUUUAGACUUUAUCAGCUAUCUGUUUAGUUUUAGGCUUUUCUUUAAUGCACUUUUCAGUUAACAAGUCAACAUCAAUUUCUUUCGCUGUAAAAAAGCUUGAGGAAGGUGGCUUGAGAUUCGUCUUAAGUGUUUAUAGCCUCUUGCCUAUGCAGUCGGAGAGAUUGAGGUCUGCAGCGUAGAUCCUUCGGGGCUAAAUGCAUUUGUGCUAAGUUAUAGCAUUUUAUAGACAACUUGUUGACUAUGAUUUGUCUUGUAGCUUACUCGCUUAUGUUAUUUUACCUACGCUUAGGAUGUUGAACUACUGAGACAUAGA